UUCUUCAAUAGAGAAACUCCAAAUGUCUUCUUCUUCUUCUUCUUCUUGUUCUUCUGUGGUAGUAAAGGAUUGAAACCUAAACAUAAAAGGAGAAAGGGGAAGAGAAAUGGCUUCCCAUCUAUCUUCGGUGUCCAAUUUCUGCCAUAGCCACCUUACUCUAUGCAAACAUUCUUCUCCUCCACCUGUAUUCUCUGUCACUCCAUCUCUGUUUUCUUCUAGGCCUAAAAUCUUCAACUACCCUCUCAAUCUGAACUCCAGCUCAUCUCAACCGGCGUGUUCUCUCUCUUCAGUCUCGCAGGUUUCUCUGCAAGACUCUAUCUCACAAGAAUCUCAAAGCCCAUCAUCCCCAAAUCCUCUUGUGUUACAAGAAGGGUCUCUGUACCCAGAUGGGAAAAACGCUCCUUCAUCCAAAAGCUAUAUUUGGGUGAACCCCUGGAGUCCCCGAGCUGCACAGUUUCGGAAGCAUUCGUACGAUUCCAGGUAUUCGUUACUGAGGAAACUUGCUGCGUCUCUGAAUUCAUGCAACCCAACUGAGGAAGAUGUCGUCAAAGUGUUGUCCAGUCUUGGCGAGAAUCCCUUGGAGCAAGAUGCCGUUGUUAUUCUUAAUCACAUGGAGAACUCAAUAACGGCGCCUCUUGCUCUUAAGUUCUUCCAACAGAAACUGAAACCAAAGCGAGAGGUAAUUCUUUAUAAUGUGACAUUAAAAGUGUUCAGAAAGUGUAGGAUUUUUGAUAGAGCAGAGAAGCUGUUCGAAGAAAUGCUCGUGAGGGGAGUCAAACCUGACAACGUUACAUUCUCCACUAUAAUCAGCUGCGCGAGGCACUGUUCUUUGCCCAAUAAGGCUGUUGAGUGGUUUGAGAAGAUGCCAGACUUCGGGUGCGAUCCCGAUAAUAUGACGCACUCGACCGUGAUAGAUGCCUAUGGUCGAGCAGGUAACGUUGAGAAGGCCCUCAGCUUGUACAAUCGCGCAAAGACGGAGAGGUGGCGUAUUGAUUUGGUCACGUUCUCAACGGUGAUCAAGAUAUAUGGAAGCUGGGGUAAUUUUGAUGCGGCCUUAAAUGUCUUUGAAGAGAUGAAGGCUUUAGGAGUGAAACCAAAUUUACUCAUCUACAACACUUUGUUGGAUGUCAUCGGGAGAGCUAAGAGGCCAUGGCAGGCAAAGUCUCUCUAUAAAGAUAUGAUCAACAAUGGGCUUUCGCCGAAUAGGACAACCUACUCUGCUCUUCUACGAGCGUAUGGUAGAGCCCGUCACGCCCAAGACGCACUUGAUGUGUAUAGAGAGAUGAAGAGCAAGGAUUUAGAGUUGAAUGUGGUUCUCUACAACACCCUCUUGGCGAUGUGUGCUGAUAUGGGUUACACUGAUGAGGCUAUUGAGAUCUUUGAGGACCUGAAGAGGUCUCAGACUUCUAAGCCUGACAGUUGGACAUUUUCAUCCGUGAUUACCAUAUAUUCUUGUAGUGGGAAAGUUUUGGAGGCUGAAAGCAUGUUGAAUGAAAUGUUAGAAGCAGGUUUUGAGCCUAAUAUAUUUGUGUUGACAUCGCUUAUCCAGUGCUACGGGAAAGUUAAUCGAACAGAUGAUGUCAUCAAGACUUUCAAUCGACUUCUAGAAUUGGGUAUAGCUCCUGAUGAUCGGUUCUGUGGUUGUCUUCUUAAUGUGAUGACCCAGGCGCCAAAAGAAGAACUUGAUAAGUUGAUUGGGUGCAUUGAAAGGGCUAAUCCAAAACUGGGUGCUGUGGUCAAACUAGUGGUGGAAAAGGAAGCCAGUAAUGGGUUGUUUAAACAAGAAGCCACUGAGCUCUUCAGUUUAAUUGACACAGAUGUCAAGAAGGGUUAUUGCAAUUGCUUGAUUGAUCUGUGUGUUAACCUCAAUUUGUUGGAAAGAGCUUGUGAGCUAUUGGACCUGGGGCUCAUGCUUGAUAUAUACAGAGGUAUCCAGUCUAAGUCUCCGACACAGUGGUCACUAAAUUUGAAGUCUCUCUCCCUUGGGGCAGCCAUGGCUGCUAUGCAUAUAUGGGUCAGUGACUUAUCCAAAGCUCUAGAGAAUGGGGAGGAACUGCCAUUGUUGCUCGGAAUAAAUACUGGUCAUGGAAAGCACAAAUACUCAGACAAAGGAUUGGCAAGUGCCUUAGAAUCCCACUUGAAGGAAUUGAAUGCCCCAUUCCAUGAGGUCCCUGAUAAAAUUGGCUGGUUUUUUACUACAAAUAUUGCCGCCAAGUCAUGGUUGAAGUCGAGGAGCUCAGCUCAACUGGUGGCUGCUUAGGCUUAUUUCUGGAGAGGGGCUUUUUCAGUUUUCUGCAAAAAUUAGAUUCAGAAGUCCAUUUCUAUUAAACUUUUCAUAAUCUUGGCUCCUCUUAUUAGGUAUCCAAGUCCCGUGGAUCCAUAUUGACCCCACAACCUCAUGGAUCAGUCAUACCAAGGUUGAAUGAGAAUCAUUCAAUUUUCAGUGAAAGCAGUGAAGAGCACUAAACACCCCGUGUGAGUGGCCCCAUGGAGGUAAGAGGAGUCGAACUCAAAACACACGCUUCCUGAUGCUAGCCAGACUAGUAAAUGAUUUACAGACUUUUGUUGUAAGACUAUUUUUGCUGGCCAUUUUUUGAUUUUUCUUUCUGAAAACUCAUUCUGGUGUUUCAGUAAUUUCAGAAUGUAAAUUUGUCCAUUCUGUUGAUACAUAAAACUUGGGCAAGAGAAUGCUGCACCCCCUCCCCCUCCCCCUCCCCCUCGCCCUCGCCCUCGCCCUCGCCCUCGCCCUCGCCCUCGCCUUCGCCUUUGCCCUUUACUCCCCUACAGCUGGGCGUAGAAAAUACCCAGCAGCACUGUUGCAGCCUGAAAAUACCCAGCCAGAAUGUGUGGUGAUGAUGGUUAUUGGGGGACAGCCCCAGCCCAUGGAGGUUGGAUGCAGUAAGACGGGCUUUUGAUUCAAUGUUCUGGUGAUGCGAAAGAUCUGCAAAAUCCUUUUCUGAAUCUAGUUAAACAAUGAACCAUGAGACUAAUAGAGGUUUUGGUGCAAGGGUUUAUCAUUUAAAUCUGUAUAAAUAAUGUUACUGAUGUAGGAGGGAGUGCCCCAGACCACAAUUGCUGGCUUUGCUCUGUUUUGGAUCUUGUCUAAAUUCAUGUUUUUCUUCAAUUUUAUUGGUAUUUGAUUCU